UAGUUGGUGAGGUAACUGCUCACCCAGGGUACGAUGUCGGGGGGGUCUUAAAGGUGAUCCCCCACAGUGGUACUGAGACACGGACCAGACUCUUACGGGAGGCAGCAGUGAGGAUUAUUGGUCAAUGGGCGCAAGCCUGAACCAGCCAAGCCGCGUGCAGGAUUAAGGCCCUAUGGGUUGUAAACUGCUUUUAUACGGGAAGAACCUUCCGACGUGUCGGAGACUGACGGUACCGUAUGAAUAAGCAUCGGCUAACUCCGUGCCAGCAGCCGCGGUAAUACGGAGGAUGCAAGCGUUAUCCGGAUUUAUUAGGUAUAAAGGGUGCGUAGGCGGACCUGUUAGUCAGUGGUGAAAUACUGCGGCUUAACCGUAGAACUGCCAUUGAUACUGCAGGUCUUGAGUACAGUUGAGGUAGGCGGAAUGUGUGGUGUAGCGGUGAAAUGCUUAGAUAUCACACAGAACACCGAUUGCGAAGGCAGCUUACUAAGUUGUAACUGACGCUGAUGCACGAAAGCUUGGGGAGCAAACAGGAUUAGAUACCCUGGUAGUCCAUGCCGUAAACGAUGAUCACUCGCUGUAUGUCCAUUAGGAUAUGUGGCUGAGCUAACGCAUUAA
rnacentral:rRNA from 1 species